rnacentral:lncRNA from 10 species
GGGAUGAGAGCUUUGGCGGGAGUCAGGGCAGAGCAGGUAGCAGGUAAUCCUAAUGAGUUAGAGUGGAGCAGGUGGUCAGAAUGAGUUAGGGUGGAGCAGGUGAUCAGAAUGAGUUAGGGUGGGGUAGGUAAUGGAAAAAGGUUGCUUUAUGAGGAAGUUAAGUUUAAAAGUAGAAGGCAAAGAAUUGAACAUACUGACAUAUUAAUUCUUUGAAAAUAAAUUUAGAACUCCCAUCUAACAGGACUAAGGAUUACUGUGAGGCUUACUGCCCAACCAGCCCCAAGCCUUCACAGGGGGAGACUCCAGGCUCUUGCACGCAUGGACUCUGCUGGCUGGCACAGACCCAGCUUAUCAGCAGAUCACCAUCUGAUUCCAGGAGUUUCACUCUGUCCCCAACCAGCCACUCCACAUUUACACCGUCUCUGCAGCGGCUUAAGUCUUGUUGAGGUCCAAGGAGGGCCUUGGAUAUCUGGAACAAUGGUGAGGGUGCUGAAGUGAGCCAGUCAUGUUCCCUCCUCCAGCUGGGAUGUGUGGUGACUUCUUCCCUUACUGUAACACAGAAAGAAAAAGAAACAAGAAAGAACAAAAAAAUGCUGUAACAUGGAGCAACAUUCCCUUCUUCUUUUAUAAAGGGUAAAGACUGAACCAAAAGAGAAGAAAAAAUGGAUCAUUGAGAACAUCUUUGUUACUGGCACUGUCUACAUGGUAUUUUGAGCAGAGUUUUGCAGUGUUUCCAAGUGCUGCAGUUUCUUCCCGCAGAGAGAUGGCCACUACAGACUCUAGCUGCCAGAAGAAUUUCCCCCAGAUCUGGAAAGUUUCUACAGUUGCUUACCUCGAAUAUUCACAUACAGAGAGGUACUUCCUCCAAAGUGCGGUUUUCCAACAACUCCAUAAUGAUAACAUGGGAACUGGACCUGGCUCUGCCAACAGAUGUCAAUACUUUCACGAUGAAGAGAAAUAGCGAUUCCUUCAUGAUCUGCUUCAAAAUAUUGGAAUAGAUUUUAGUGAUUCUGGAAUGGAUGAGAAGAUUUGACAGAAGCAUUGUUUUACUUUUUAAAUUUUCCUUCAAAUUACAAAUCAGAAUAACCAUUUCCAGGACAUUUUGCUUCAGCAAGGUCUUUUAUUUAGUCGUGCAGCAAGCGAUCUUGCAGGAUGACUCAAGACAAUACAUCUUUGUGUUGGAGAAAAUCCAAGUUUUUAAUGCUUUCCAAUUGACCCUUUUACUAAGGCAAAAGAGGCAGACUGUGCAGUGUAUUUUCAGGAUGUAAGGGAUCACUUCAGCUUUGUUCGGUUCCUGCUUCCAUAGGCCAAGAGAAGCAUCAGCUACUUUGACAACCUUAAAGCGAAAUCCGGGAAUGUCACCAACAGCAUGACUUUUGCAACCAAAUCUAGCAACCAGAACUUUAUCAUUUUCCUCGGUUAGAUCCUCUGGAGGGCAGAAACUGAGAUGGAAUUAAGAGUGCAAAUAUUUUACUGAAGAGUAAGUCCUGUGAAAGAGAAGCUGAAGAAGCAAUACUGAGAAGAGGGAAUCAUCAGAACAUGAUAAAGACCUUACAAUGUCUGUGCCAGCCCAACAAGAAGUUCCACAGUAAUGACUGCCCAUUGGAGGAGGACUGCAUGGUAAACAAAGGACUAGGCCCUUACGCCACUGCCACGCUCGUUGUUGGCUGGGCACCACCCAAAGAAGGGUCUAACCUCUGCUACCACUGCCUUGCUCAGUCAUGAACCAGGGUCUUUCCAAGAAGAAUUUGAACGUGGCUUGAACACUGAGGUGAAUCCUGAAGAAGUAGACAACUGGAGGCUGCCGGGUAGUCACCUUCUUUCUUCUGGUCAGCGAGUCUUUUCUCCAAGAUAUUUGGAAAUAGCUAGCUCCUCAAGGGCUCUGGUGGGCCUAAUUUCCUGAGGGAUAGUUCAGAGACAAAAUGGAGCCCCUGUCUCUGCAGUUGGUCUCUAUGCUACAGCUGGAACUCAUCAUUUUUCUCCUCCACUAUCCAUUCUAAAUUCUUUUCACUCUAUGUUGGCCUUGGCAGUUUUUCUGGAGUAGAAUUCCCCAUUAAACAUAAACUUCUCUGGCUAGGCCUGCUGCAUGUUUCCAUUUAUAUGGGCAAAGAGUGGCAAGAGAUGCUCAAAUUGGAUCACUUGAGUGCUACGUAUAUUCCUGCUUGUCUCUUAUACCAGGAAAUCUUCUUUCUCAUGCAUUUUAGGGUCAAUUAUGACAAGCUGAUGACUUCUUUUCUUGUUUGGUGAUCCCUGGACAUAAAUAUCCCAAAGUGUUCAAGGGGCAGCUGUAUCCUGUAUUUCAGGGAAUCUCUUGCUAUUUCCCUGGGUGAGUGCAUGCCCCCUUUAGAAAUGAGGGCUUCUCAUCCUUCAGAGAGCCCAGGCAGGAAUCUGCAGAGUACCCCAGUAGAUCUUUGGGAAUGAUAGUAAGUGGGGCCGAUUCUACUGCUAUCCCUUGGUCCCAGACCCAUGGGAACCUGAUGAUUCCUGAUGAAAAUGCGGUGCCACAGUGAGGUCUGAUUCAAUGAUUGUUCUGCUUCCUGGAGGAUGGUGCUGCAUCUCAUAGGGCACCUCUUGUGAGCUAGUGCAUCAGUUGCCCCUUCAGCAAGUUGCUCAACACUUUAAAACCCCAGCAGCUUCUGGGCAGUGUGGGAGAAGCAGUGUGUAAUAUGACUAAUAAAUUGCAUAAUCAUGGGCCCACCUUGCUCUUGUAUUACAGUUAAAGUGGGUUCUCUGGUUGGAUGUUGUGUGGAAUUCUAUGUCUAUAGGCAUUCCAUAAAUUCCCAGGUAGUGAUGCUUUCCUGUAGGUGGGAAAGGCAAAUCCAUAUCAGGAAUGUAAGUAUCUAUUCCCAUGAAAAGAAACUGCUGGCAUUUCCAACAUGGAAGAAUCCCAGUGAAGUCAGUUUGCGACCAAGUGGCCAGUUGGUCUUUUUGAGGAACACUGCCAUGUCAGGGGGUUAACAUUUGUCUCUGUGGUUGGCAGGUUAGAUAUUGGAAGUAUUAAUAGCUAGAUGGGCCUUGAUGAGUAACAGUCUCUGCUAUUGGGCUCAUGUGCAAUCUCUGUCUCAACUGCCACGGCCACUUUGCGUGUGCAUUCUGCCAGCAUUGCAGUGGACACAUUGACAAAGGUUAGCUAACAUAAACUCAG